rnacentral:rRNA from 1 species
GACGAACGCUGGCGGCGUGCUUAACACAUGCAAGUCGAACGGUGAAGCGCCUUCCUUUUUGGUGGGUGUGGAUGAGUGGCGAACGGGUGAGUAACACGUGAGUAACCUGCCCCCUUCUUCUGGAUAACCGCAUGAAAGUGUGGCUAAUACGUGAUAUUCUGGGUCUGUCGCAUGAUGGGUCUGGGAAAGAUAUUGUUUCGGUGGGGGAUGGGCUCGCGGCCUAUCAGCUUGUUGGUGGGGUGAUGGCCUACCAAGGCGGUGACGGGCAGCCGGCCUGAGAGGGUGGACGGUCACACUGGGACUGAGACACGGCCCAGACACGUACGGGAGGCAGCAGUGGGGAAUAUUGCAGAAUGGGCGCAAGCCUGAUGCAGCGACGCCGCGUGAGGGAGGGAGGCCUUCGGGUUGAGAACCUCUUUCGCCAGUGAAGCAGGCCUGCCUCGUUUGUGGGUGGGUUGACGGUAGCUGGAUAAGAAGCGCCGGCUAACUACGG